UUACACUUUUAUCCAAAGCGACUUACAUUGCAUUUUUAUUUCAUGGCUUCUACAUGUUUUGCCCGGGGAGCAACUAUGGGUCUGGUGUCUUGCUCAGGGACACUUCGACGUGGGACAUAGGGCAGCCGGGGGUCGAACCACCAACCUUGUGCUUCCCAGUGUGAUUCCACUAUGGAGAAUGAAUCCCUCAAACAUCAACCUCCAACCAUCGUAUCGGGAUAUAGCCUCGUUAGCUUAGCAUCUCGCAGCCUCACAGCUAAAGUCCUCCAAUCAUGAGGUCACACUCAGUCUGUUUAAAAAUACUACUAAUACUACUACUAAUAAUAAUAACAUUACUUGUUACAAAAACACAGGAACGCAAACAUGUUCCACAUGACGGAUGUUUUUAAUCAUUAAAAUGCAGAUUAGUGAUUCAACAAGUUUCCUUCUUUAAGAGGUGGAAUUAAAAAAAACACACAAAAUAUGCAGGGAGCAACUUUAAGAGGAAUAACUUUUAACAAGUGGACAAUUUGAGACGAGUUUCUGCUGACGGCCGGUCGGCAGGAGGAGGAGAAGAAGAAGAAGAAGAAGAAGAAGAAGAAGAAGAAGAAGAAGAAGGAGAAGAAGAAGAAGAGGAGCUUCAUAUGAAGAAGUACAUUUAAAGUGGAACCGGAGGAAGUGACUCCGCUGUUUCCUCUGUUACAGUUUGCAUGACAAACUCUGAUUUUAUCUUAAAUGGUAACACUCACAUCUAAAUAAAGAAAACAAGGAGAAAUUGUUGCUUCUGACGGCAGUUUGGGGGUUUUGCAGACAUGUCUUUUAUUUUGAAAAUCUGAAUAAAUAAUAACAUUGA
ensembl:lncRNA